ensembl:lncRNA
CCCAGCCAGCAUCCUGCUUCUGCAGGCAAACAGAAAUUUGUCAUGAUGUGUGUAUGUAUCCAGCUUUGUGAUCUGUGAGCUCUUAAUAAUUGGUUUGGUGACCUGCCACCAGUGUGCUCUCUCUGUAGAGCUUUCUCCGGUCCCUGGUUAAUACAACGGGUCACAAAUCCCAUUUGCUUUUGAAUUCUGAGUAAUCCUUUCGUUAAUGUUGCCUAGUGCUUUUUUGGAAGCAUUGAAGGAAAUUGGAGCCCUGUGCUAAUCAGUAACUCUGGCUCUGCAUGCUUGCGAGCUGUUGCCCUGGCUGGCUUUUCCAAAUGACCGGUGCAGCCUGUUUAUGUCAAACACCAACGUGUGCCUCUACAAAGCAGCAAUUGCCUCUGAGCCGUGGUAUUACCCAGGGCACGGGCUGGGAAUGUUGGCUGAGCUUUAGGAGAGCAGUGAGGUGUGAUGGGGUGACCGCCGGUGCUGUGUUCCUACUGUGGUGGUUGCCCACAGAUUGAACUGAACUUUAAUGGUGUCUUCAACACCUACAGCGUCUGAGUUAUGAAGGCUGUGGCUGUUCUGCCUGUCAGCUCCAUCCCAGCAGCAAUUCGUGGCUGGAGUCACAAACUCUGCACUGAUACAGAGAGAGUUCAUCGUGGGCAGAGGGAUGCUGAGCAACUCAAUGGGGAUUGGGAUGCAAGCGGCGUGGAUGCAAUGCCUCUGCCUGCAGCCUCGUAUCAUCAGCUGACAAAGCCCUGCAGUCAUGCUGCUGUGAGCAGAGAUGCCUGAUCCUCUGAGGAGAUGCAGGCUUCAGCACCAAACCUCUGCCCUGUCCUGAUGGGCUCUUGUGGAGCACAGACCUUCGUGUUGGAGAGCUUUUAUGCCAAGGACUGAGGAUUGGUUGCUUCUCUCAUCCGUUUCUGUGGCUGGAGGUGCCUUGUGAACUGUACUGCUGAGACAAACAGGUGCCCAGAACUGCUCAGGACCGUCUAUGAAACCUGCUGCUGGGACUCUGUCCUGCUGCUAAUGGGGAAGGUGACAUGCUGCUGAUUAAAGUGAGGACCAAGGCUGUGAAUGUUGAAACUGACAGCUCCCGGUCUCAGAGCUGGCUGUAGAAGCUGAAUCCUGCUUCCUCCAUACCACUGCAUCCUGGCUUGGCUGGAUGGGGCGAGGGCAGGGAUUUGCCCCUAAGCACCACAUUGGAGAACCCUCCCUGGAAGGAUGUGAGCUUUGAAGUUCUGCAGAUUGUGUUGGCAGCAGACUGGAGGAGAGAUCAACCACAGAACACCAUCUCCUUCCUUGCAAAUAAGCCUCAGUCCAGCCAGCAACAAAACAGCAGCUGCCCUAUUUCCAGGGCUGGUGGGAGUGCAAAGCCUUCUCCUUGUAUUCAUCAGCUGCUGGUUCUGCUGUAGCCUCCAACCGCAUGUUGCUGAUUGCUUUCCCCAUGGUGGGCUGGACUGUGAAGACCAUUGGGCUGCCAGUGUACCUGUGGACCCUGGGACACCAAUGCAGUGGUAGAGAGCUAAUGAAUCACAACAUCACUUACGCAUUAACUUCUUUGAAAUGCAAAGCACUCCCCUGGUAUUUCAGUCUUUUCCACCCAGUCCAAAGCAAAACCCCAUAGAUAGAGAACAGUGGGGAGCUGCACAAGGUAACACUUCCACUUUGUGUCUGGUACAAUGAUUGCAUCAGCAUUCAUUACAAUGGAACUUGCUGCCCUUUAAAGCAGUUCGGCACAUGCUGUAUCCUCAGCUUUCCUGCUUCCGACUGGCUCUGCGCUGAACUGCUUCCUUGCAUGCAUUCAAAGCAGUUUGUAAUUAACAAUCACAUUGUUUUCCUUUGAACAUCAACAGAGAUAUAGAAAACAGAGAUUGAGAGCUGAGAUGUUGGUACGACCGGGUAUUAUUUUGCUUUCAUGAAAUGACUUUUCCUAUUUUGCUGCAAAUUUGGUGCUGAUGAAAAGCUGGGGCAGCGUGCAGGCAGCCACAAGGCUUCGCUCACCAGCUCAUGGACAAAGUUCUCUCCUAUCACUAUGGGGAAGCAGGAAAUUUGGGCUUGGAUGCCCUUUUACCUUUGCCCUUGCAGAACACAUUCUGGACACCAUUGCUGCCUUCACAAAAUAGCGCUCAGCAGAAAAGCCUGCAGAGAAGGACGAGGAAAACCAAGAGUAUGCGGGCUCCUGAGCUACCCAGCAUGUUGGAGCAGAGGGGCUGUGUUUGAAGCCUUGGCUCUGUGAACAAGAAGCAGAUUACAAACUUCUUCAGUUCUGGUGCAGAGCUUGGAUGGGAGGAUUGCUCCCUCCAUCUGUUCUUCACAUAGGCAAUCUGCCUUUGAAAGCCAUCGCUGCUUAAGUAUGGAGGAAGCGUAAAUGCAGAAGCACCUGAAUAUUGUUUAACAGAUGGGGGCACACAUUUUUCAGGCAGAGAUUUCCUUUCCAUUGCCCCACUUAUUUUAGAGGUGUUUUUCAGGACCAUCCUUCCAAUGCCUGGGAAUAGGAUCCCAGCCUGCGGUUUGUGGCGAUGGCAGUUAAUUUCCAGCAGCUAACUUUGCUGUGAAAACUCUUGUGACAUUUGUGAAAUUUGCUUUCAUCUCCUUCCCUUCCAACUGAGCUCACAUUUUUCAUCAAAGCCUUCCACGAGGAUCACACUCCGUGCCACACGCUCCACCCUGGCAACAAAGUGGCUGGAGUUCAUCCGUGCCAUUCUGAAACACUCAAGCAAGCCUGAUGAAGCACACAGCCAGGCUGCAGCCUGUGAAUGCCUCUGCCCACAUGCACAUCUUCCCUCCCUGCAGGAGCUGCCCUUCUGUUGAUGAUGCUCGCUUGUUCUCGCCCCUUCUGCAUUAAUACAUACAGCACAGUGGCUUUCAGCUUCAUCAACCCAAGGACCACUACAAAUCUUCCAAUGGGAACGCUGUCGUAGACUGCUGAGUGGCAGAAAGGAAAUUGCUUUUCUUUGCAACUUUUUUGAUGAUUCCUUGCAAACAGAUGGUGGACCCCAUGCCUCAGGGAGCGCACAUUGAAGCCACCACCUCACUGAGUUGGUGAAACCAACAGAAAUUGUGUCAUAUGGACCCCCAUAAGGCCCAUCUACUGGGAGAAGUCACAGCUGGAGAAGAGGAGGAAGAAAGAAGUAAAAAUAUAGGCAGAGAGGAUGGACCUCAAAUUUCUCAGUUUACAUCUCACUUCCCCUUCCCAUUCUUUAGUCAUCAUAUUCUUUCUGGGAGAAAGUGGCUGUUGGAAAACAGAGAGAGAAGACGACAAACACUGCUGUGGAAUUAUUUAACGAGCCAGAAUGAAUUGCAUUUGAAAUCAUUUAAAUGGGAUCUGGGAGUAUUUAACUGCAGCACAGGAACUUAACAAGAGUGGGAAAGGAUUUUGUGCUAAUUGCUGGCAAUGAUAUACCUAUGGAGAGAGAACAUGCAGCAAUUAGUAAGCAAGGCUGUAAUUUCAGCCUAAGGUCCCUGCCUGCCCUGGAAUAUGCCAUGGAUUAUCUGUUGCAAGGAAGACAGGGACUUGGUCUGCAGGUGACCGAAGGGCAGCAGAUGAGGUUCUCAUUGGGAAGUCAUUAGCCAAGAUUGUCACACAGGAGAUAGGUCUGCUCAGACCCCACUGCACCUUUCCUAACCUGACCCCAGCCCUGAAAGAACCAUCCAACACAGUGCCGGGUGAGACCAGGUGUUCUCACUAUGGGCUAAGGCAGAAAGCCACCCUGCCUGGCUGAGCCUCUGCCACCUGCCUGUGGCACACAGCCUCUGACAGCCUCUGCUCAUUGUUUUCUAUCUCUGUUCUCUCCCCACGAUGCCUCUGUCUUUGGUUUUUGUCUUUCAAUCAGUUUUCAUCUCAGUAAUUCCCAUUCAAUGGUUAGUCUCUGAUCUUUCUAAUUGAGAUCAGAGCUUCAUGUAAUAGGGAGGGGGGAGGGAGACUAUUUUUAAUUUGCUACGUUCCCAUUAAUAACAAGUUCUAAUUAAAAAACCUCCAUCUUCCAUCCUCCCAAGUUCAGAGGAAAACUCUGCAACUUCUGUUGGAAUCUUCUCCUGAUAAAUUGGUACCACAGCCUCCUAGAACAGCUGGUCCUCUUUAGCAGGCAUUGUAAUUAAUGGGAAUAAUAAAUGCAUUCAAAGCAGGUUCGUAACCUUCCUUUCUGUGCACUCAGGCUUCUCUUUGCAUUGCAAGAGACACACAUCAGCAUCUCCGCAAACAGGCCCAGCAGAGCUGCCUAAUUCUAAGAAGCCCAGGUGCCAGUGGUAGUCACUGGGCUGCCACAGCCCUUGCCAUACCCUUUGUGCAGGGCUCCAUUUACACCAGCUGCUGGCUGGGGCUGCCUUGGGGUGCAGAUCAGCUGUGCUAGUGAUGGACAGACUCUUGCUCUCCCUCUUAGCUUUUGUUCAUCGCUACUGAGUUAAUGGAUUUGUCUCAGGAGCGGCCAAACCGGGAGCCAUCAGCACAGAUAUCCCCAAGAUGAGCAAUCUGUCCUGAGCAGUGAUUUCAAUUAAAGGGUCAUUAGCGUGAAAUCUUAUCCCACCCAGCUCCCAUUUGCCAGCAGGAGGUCCUUCUCCCCAUCCCAAGCCUGCUCUGCGGUUAGAGCGCGCUGCUCCUGCUGGAGCCCUCCCGUUUUGCUAAAACACAGCAGCUGCUGCUAAUAAACAAACAUAUUGAUCAUAGAGAUAUGGGCUGUCAGGGACUUAAUUCAUGAAUGAAACGUGCUGGGGAGCGCCCAGUAGGAGAGGGCUGUGCUUGGAGAGCUCGAGACCAAGAUGGUGCAUGGAGGUGGGAGCAGAGGCUGCUUAGCACUGGGGCUGGUGCUAAGAGUUCAAAGGCUGAAUUUGUUCACGGCACAGAAAGGAGCAGAGCAAAUUUCUCCUGUGUCAUUAUAGGCCAUCACUGACAGGGAGGGAGGUGUUUCGGGGGAGGGCUCCAGUUCCUUCCUACUGAAGUAUUCGGGUCAACCCAACCAUUUAGGGCUAAUUUAAGAAGACUAUCAAAUAUUCUCCAGAAGCCAACCGUGAAGUUCUACAAGGAUCUGAGGCUUGGAGAGAAAUAGGAGCUGCCUGCCAGCUGUGAUGCUGGGACGGCAGAGCAUCGGUGCAGAAGAGGGGAGAGAAGCAGAGCUGCAGGUUUCCCAUUUUCCUACCCUCCUGACAGCAGUUUUCCUGACUUGGGUCAAAAUUUCCCCCCACGUAUAGACAGUAAAACUCUCCUUUUGUGUGACAUGGGGACUGUGUGUAUCGCUGAGAUACUAAUGGCUGCUAUUGUUUCUAUAUUGUUGUCAUUGUCUAGCAUCUUAUCAAAACAAGGUACAAUCAACUCACAGGUGGAUCCCACACAGCCAGGGGCUGUAAUUACAACAGGCGUGUAUUUGAAUAUAGCCUUUACAGGUGCAAUAAAUUACGCUGAAGCAGCUGAGGAUGGAGGUUGAACUGUAACAGGCUGCCAUACUUUUGGUAUUAGCCACGCCAAAAGCUGUCAUUAAAAUAGGCCUCAGUAUUUAUGGUCCUGGGUAGUGGAGGCCUUGCUAAGAUUCUGAUGAAUGAACUUCCAAGGACAGGAAUAGCUGUCAGUCUGAAAUAUUUAUCAGUCUGAACUCUCUCUGCGAUUCAUGCCAUGGUUUGGCUGCCUCCGUUUUUCUUCCCGUCUGGUUGCUUUGAAGCUCAGGUUCCCCGGGCACCAGGUAUUCAGCACGGCUGAGUCCUGUGCUACCUCCUGUCCCUGGGGCCAUGUUUCGGGGCUCACCAAAGGAAUUCCUUCUCCCUGCGCUGCAGGAGAUGGAGGCCAUGUCUGGAUGACUUCAUGCCUCCUCCAGCAUGUGUCCUGAUGCUGCCUUUGCUGUGUGAUUCCCACAUCCUUCUGGCUAAGGAGAGGUCAAAGGAGCCUCGGGGCAUGCAAAUAUAAUUGGCAUUGCAGCCUUGGUAUCCACGCAUGAGGGAAGGUGGGUUUGCUGAAUAGGCUUCAGAAAAGCCUGAGAACCAGGAUUUCUGUGCAAAGGCACAGCCUGAUCUCACCAACUGGGAGUUUCUGUGCUCCUCAGGUCUCCAAGGCACCCAGAGCUUGCAAGUUAAUAAAAGUCUAAACAUUAUCUUCUGAAAGAGGGGAUGAAAACUCCCAGUGAAUCACCUGCAGCAAAUGCCAGCAAAGCACGUUUCCUUGAGGUUUCUUGAAGCUACCUCUGAAAGGUCAGAUUUCUCAGUGAGACAAAAAGCUCUCUUCUCCCUCCUAGCUGUUCCAUCAAUACUUGUUUUUUCUCUCCAUUUAUUUUUACCUUCCUGUUCAGGAAAACAUACAUAAAGAAGAAAAAAAAUGCAGCUUCCCAUGACAGCAGCUAAGUCCAAAGCUCAGUCUUAAACUAAGAGCUCAGUCCAAAGACCCCAAUAGACUUUGAGAGCAAUAGAGGAGGUGAGGAGACCCUAGUGAUGAUCAGGGCAGUGCAAAGUCAGCUGUGAAGCUGGGCGCAGAGGGAACAGCUGAUAUUCUCCAGUCAGAAGCAAAGCACGGGGCUUGUCCGGACAUGUUCCCUUCAGCCAGGGGAUGGGGUUGGAUGGGGCUCUGAGCCCCUGAUGUGCUCAGCUGUGGGUGCCUCUGUUCAUUGCAGGGGAGCUGGACUAGAUGACCUUUAAACAUCCCUUCCAACUCAAACAAUUCUGUGAUUCUGUGACUCAUUUGGACAUGUGCCACGGUUGGUCACCUUCCCAGACCUGAUGGCUUCUUCCAGCAGCCAGCUCGCAAGGUCUGGGUGUGGGCAAGGGGGAAGAAGGCCUCACCUCGUGGUGAGAGAGCAGGAGCUCUGCAGAGAGGACGUGACUCCUCUCUCUCACUCAUGCACUUAAUGACUCUCCACUGAGUUAAUCACGCAAUACAAUUCAGGGGUAAUAUUCCUAACCACCCCGCUGUGCCCUCAGCGAUACCUCCAGCUGCGGCACACCUCCACCUGCUGACACCAUCCCUCCCUUUUCCCCAUCUCCACCUCAUUUCUCUCUCGGUUGUUAUGGCCUUUGUCCAACAAAGCACUUAAACAGGUGUUCCCCUGAGCAAGUAACCCAGCCUUCUCCAUGCGGUGAAUCCAGAAUCCCAUGCAGGAGGCCUCUGCCCUCUGCACACCUGGGUUUUUUUUUUGGUGUAGAAAAGCACUGGGGCCACGGGCAGAGCAGAUGGGAAACCCUUGGCUGAUCUUCUCACUGUGCUCUGCAGUCCUGACAUCUGCUCGUGUGUGACAAUGGGAAUAAAUCACUGAGGAUUUCCUGCCCAGAUUUGGGGAACACAAACACUGCUGAAGUCCUUUGGUUUGCUCAGCCCAGGGAAAGGGAGGCUGCAUGGCAGCCUACGGUCCCCUCAUGGCCUACAGCUUCCUCACAGUGGCCUACAGCUUCCUCAUGGCCUACAUCCCCCCCAUGGCAGCCUACAGCUUCCUCAUGGCCUACAUCCCCACCAUGGCAACCUACAGCUUCCUCAUGGCCUACAUCCCCACCAUGGCAACCUACAGCUUCCUCAUGGCCUACAUCCCCCUCAUGGCAGCAUACAGCCCACUCAUGGCCUGCAGUCCCCUCAUGGCAGCCUACAGCUUCCCCACAGGGGAAGGGAGGGGCAGGCAAUGAUCUCAGCCAUAUGGUCUGAUUUUUGGGACUUGAUGAUCCUUAUGGGUCCCUUCCAACUUAGGUUAUUCUAUGAUUCUGUGUUUCUAUGAAGUGGCCAAGCCCUCCAUGCAGAACAUGAUUCUUGCUGCCAAAAUGUCUCCUGUGUGACCAGAACCAAAACCUCUGCAUUUCACCCCAAAAAUACCAGACUCAAGGUUAGCUCCAUGCACCAGUGCAGUAUCUCUGCUGCACAGCUCGGUAACAAGCCGCAGAUAAGACAGUGGGGCUUACAUUUCAGGACUUAAAUAUUCAAUUAAUCAAUGGAAUAUUCCAUUAGUGUAAUAAUCACUUGGCAUUGGCUGAUCUAUAGGUACAUCUCAGCUGGGCCUCGCAAAUUGAUUUCUGAUGAAGUUCUAAUUGACUGCACAGGCAGAAGAGGACCUGUCUGAGCAUAUUGAAGCGGGGCCUGUGGAGGCUCUGGCAGUACCACCUCCCCACAAGGAAGGGGAAGGAGAGGGGGAAGGUGUGAUUUAUGCCCCAUUUAUCACAGCAGCCUCUACCCUAUCCUGUUUUAUUGGUCCCAAGUGAAGCAUGAGAGCUUACAGCUUUAAUGUGGAAAUUUGCAGGCAGCUGGAGACCCCCCUGAGCUGCUGACAGCUGCUUGUCACUUGUGCCAUGGGUGCCGGGGGGACCUUAAAUCCUGAAUCUCUCAAUAUGGGAUGCAGCCAUGGAUCAGGUCAUGUUUGAAGUGCUGAGGUUUCCUCCAGAACUCCCCACUCUCCAUAGAGCCAUACCAGCAAAGCCAUGGGAGUUUCUUCCCUGCUGAUGUGGUUCGGAUCCUCUAGGAAUUGGGGUGCAUGGAGGAGGCAGCAAGUCUUCCUUGGCUAUCCUGGAGAUCUGAACCCUGUAUGCUGCCCUCCCUGAGCCUGGUGACAGCAUGUCACUUUUGCAAAGGCUUUGUCAUGCAAGUUUGUGGGCACCUUGGGUUGUAACUCCAAAGUGUCUCCAAGGGCUCUGCCAUAAGGACUUAUCCAAACUCUGUCCCUGCAGCUUGGCUGUGCACUUCUCUUGCCAGGGUAGAUGCUGUAGGAGAGCCUAGGAGAGGUAUAUGAUGCACCUGUAGGUACAGACACGCAGAAUAUCAUAGAAUAUCCCAAGUCAGAAGGGACCAUAAGAAUCAUUGAGUCCAACAUGGAGACCCCAAUUCCCACCCUGGUAAGACAAGGCUGCCUGGAGAUGUGUGUUGCACCAGAGUGUGGUUCUCCAGUGGAGGUCCGUGCAGCCUGACUGACAGCCCAGUUUUGCUGCUGAGAACAUCACUUGUGACCUUCUGGCUUCUUCUGAGCUCUCCUGGUGGGAAGAGGACACUAUGCUGGGUCUCUGAAGCAUGCCUGACUCUGCUUCUCCUGCAGCAUGCAUGGGGACCUGACGGUUCAGCUGGGUGUGAGGAAGGUGAUGGAUAGUGAUUUCAUGAAAACUGAAAACAACAGCAUCAACAAAACCAAUCAGUGCAUGUAUGUCUGGCUGCUGAAUUUUAUGAGAAACAGCUGUGUUUUUCAAACACACAGAAGUGACUGUAGCUUCCUCUCCAUCCUCUACCUACAUUAACUUAAGAGACAGUCAGAUGCUUAAAGGUUACUUGGUAGGCAAUGACUGUUCUGUAAAGGGCUACUCAUCUCUAACAGAGAUAGCUUUUCUUUUAUUGAACAUCAUCCAGAGUGGCUGAAACCUGAUAAAAAAAUCCAGAGUGAUAGCUUUCUUUUUCUUUUUCUUUUUUUUUUUUCCUUCCUAUUUCCAGUGAGGAAUAAUAACCAGCAAAAUAAAAAGGCAAUUGUCUCGCUGCAUGCACUGCUCUAAGCAAAGGCUUUGUGUGGCAGGGACUGCAGCUUAGGUAAAUGCCCAAUUAGAAAGAUUUUGAAGAAAGACCUUUGAGUCAACAUGUCUGAACAUGUCCCCCCCCCACACCAUUUCCAUUUCCAGUAUUUCUAGCCUCAUCUAUUUGUUAUAUAGGAAGGAGAUUUAAGAGGAUGAAGCUGCAUGUGUAGGGCUUAGGUGACUGAAUUAUCCCUGGGAAAAUCAGAUUUGGGUGGAAAGUGGCAAUAUUUAGGGAAAUGGCUUAGUGGGCAAUAUUGGUGGUAGGUGGACACUUAGACUGGAUGAUUUCAGAGGUCUUUUCCAAUCUUAAUUAUUCUACGAUUCAGUGAUUUUAUGAUUCUAUGAAUAUGGUUUUGUGUGGUGGUCUCUGGGACAUGGAGAUGUGUGGGACACCUUAUUCUGCUUCCUUGCAGAAAGGAAAAAUGCACUGAGAUUUAAGCAAAAGGGGUUUCUGGCUCCCCAGAAAAUGGUAAUAAAUUCUACAUGGGGAUGAUGAUUCCUUUUCACCUCAAACCUAGGGUGACAAGCUGGGAAUCAAAGCCUUUCUGUGGUCGUAGCUGCGGGUUGCUUCAGUGCAGUCUUGACUGAUGAGGUUUGACUGAUUUCUAGUCUGUUUGUUUUUGUUGUUUUCCAAAUGAGUGUUUUUAAUUACUCGACGAGCAGAGCCAGAAAUACAACCAGCAAUGGAAAUGCAUCUGAGCGGGGCUGCAUGGGGUUGACGAAGCCCACGCUUAUGGCACGUGGGGACCUUCACCUGCACAGGAGACUCAUUUCUCACCACCCCUUGGGGACCAUGACACGUAGAGAUGUGAUGCACACUGAGAGGAGUCCUCUCCAAUCCUUAGAAAACCCACCAGGGUAGGAUUUGGCCAUACUCACGAGCAUCUGGUACAUAUAUCUGCUAUAGAAAGAGUAGACCCUGAUCUUCAAAGCUGUCAGCCCUAUUUUUACCCACAACAUGAAGUUCAAUUAAAAAUUACAUUCUAUCUCUCCCAGAUAUAUGUUUCUCUUGCUUGUCUCUCUCCUUUUUUUGCAAGCUGCACGACAUAUGGGGCAACCACGCUGCAUGUGCUCAGAAAGCGUGUCCAGUCCUCAGCAUGUCAUAGAUUCCCACACAAAUAUGGAGGCUAUUAAGUAGAAGUUAUUAAGUGUCACUGCUAAUAUACUGGAAUGUGACAAGGAAGGAUUUAUUUUUAUGCUGGUGCCUCGGCCAUCAGAGCAGUGGUGGGUGCGUGGUUUUUCUCCACUGUUGGAGCUCAUCAGAGUGGUUUCAUUGACCUCUCCCUCCCAUUUGGUCCCUGCUUGGGAUGUUCUUGGGCUGGAAUUAAUGAGAUGGUGUGGUUUAAACUUGGAAAAAGUGACACUGAACAUCGGAGAACAUCAAAACCCAGACAGAGAAGCAGAUGUGGCCCAAGUGCUCAUCCUGAAUUGAAAGAGGCCACACGGCCCAGCUGAGUUACGGACCAAGGCAUGGAACCACUUCUGAUAAACCACUUCUCAACUUCCAUUUCAGGGAUGGGCAUUGGAAAACACUGGUUUGUGUAAGCACUACAGGUUGUUUAAUCCUUCCAUCCCCAACGCACCUCUGGCUGAAGACCAUGCCUGGAGUCAACUUUUCUCAUCAGAAGCU